rnacentral:lncRNA from 1 species
AGUAUCUCAUAUUUGGGAUGAGAAAAGUAUUUACUGAAACUAUUUUUCUUUCCAAUAGGAUAAUCUGCAUUUACAACAUCAAGCUGCUAUCUUCCAUUUGGGCCAGUUUGAAGAACGAACACAAGCAUGUGUGCAAUUUGUAAGGGUUGGUAAACUUGGAGAACUGGAGUUGUUCAGGAUUGCUGAAGAUGAAAAUUGCUUUAAUCACAGUGGAGCUAAAGGCUAGAGGCGGCAGGAUGUGGCUAAAGAACCACAAAAAGAACAUUCCUUUUUGGAAAGCACCAAAAAGGCUUUGUCUAAACAGAACAAAACCUGUUAUGCAUCAUGUCAGAAGAGUUUUGGAGUUGCUCUGAGGACAGUUUUGCAUUUUUAAAUAUCGCAUUAUCUUUGGAUUAGUGUUGGCUUAUGACCUUGGCUUUCAGGAAGUGUUUAGACAGCUGACAAUGAUAAUAGUAGCUCUUAUUUCCAUGAUAAAAUAUGUAGUGUCAGUGGUG